rnacentral:rRNA from 1 species
UGAAACCGUUUAGGGGUAAACCUGAGAAACCCGAAAGGUCGAAGAAAGAAAUUCAUUCGCGUUUCGUAAUUGGCGUUGAGAGGAAUUGUGUGACAAUAAUUGCUUUUUUAGUAAUUUUUGCAUCGUCUUUUCUACGUAUCCGAUUACGAACGUGUGCACUUUUCUUUUGGUAGGACGUCGCGAUCCGUUGGGUAUCGGUUUAAGGUUCUCACGGUGGAGCCCGUUUUUUAUACAUUUAUAUGUAUUUUAAAUGGACCCGUGUUAUCCCAACCGAUUCACUCGACGGUAUAUAAAAGGUUUAAGGCCGCUAAAUAAAUAAAAGCGUUUGACUCGUAACAAGCUCGUUAGUUAUUAUUUUUUUAUAAAAUAAUAUAUGUUGAAAUUCGGACCUAGUGCCGAUUUUAACAGCUGACGAUUUGCUUGAUUAUGAAGAUUCUCAAACAGACCGAUAUUUUUGUAACCGAUCUGCGACGAUAUAGAUUUGGGUACUUUCAGGACCCGUCUUGAAACACGGACCAAGGAGUCCAGCAUAUACGCAAGUCAUUGGGACUUAUAUUAAACCUAAAGGCAUAAUGAAAGUAAAAAUUCUCACUUAUGUGGGGAAUUAAGGGAAGACAAGUGGGGUGAUAUUUAGCCAUUAAAAGCGACCACUUUGCAUUCCUGGGGCGUCUCAUUCUCAGUAUAUUAUCCUUUAUUGGUGAUAUGCGAGAAGAGGCGCACCAUGAGCGUAUACGCUGGGACCCGAAAGAUGGUGAACUAUGCCUGGUCAGGACGAA